rnacentral:rRNA from 1 species
AACGAACGCUGGCGGCAUGCCUAACACAUGCAAGUCGAACGAGACCUUCGGGUCUAGUGGCGCACGGGUGCGUAACGCGUGGGAACCUGCCCUUAGGUUCUGAAUAACUCCCCGAAAGGGGUGCUAAUACCGGAUAAUGUCUUCGGACCAAAGAUUUAUCGCCUUUGGAUGGGCCCGCGUUGGAUUAGCUAGUUGGUAGGGUAAAAGCCUACCAAGGCGACGAUCCAUAGCUGGUCUGAGAGGAUGAUCAGCCACACUGGGACUGAGACACGGCCCAGACUCCUACGGGAGGCAGCAGUGGGGAAUAUAGGAGAAUGGGCGAAAGCCUGAUCCAGCAAUGCCGCGUGAGUGAUGAAGGCCUUAGGGUUGUAAAGCUCUUUUAACCGGGAUGAUAAUGACAGUACCGGGAGAAUAAGCUCCGGCUAACUCCGUG